rnacentral:rRNA from 1 species
UACGUAGGGUGCGAGCGUUUAUCGGAAUUACUGGGCGUAAAGCGUGCGCAGGCGGUUUUGUAAGGCAGAUGUGAAAUCCCCGGGCUUAACCUGGGAAUGGCAUUUGGGACUGCAAGGCUGGAGUGUGGCAGAGGAGACUGGAAUUCCCGGUGUAGCAGUGAAAUGCGUAGAUAUCGGGAGGAACACCUGUGGCGAAAGCGGCUCACUGGACCACAACUGACGCUGAGGCGCGAAAGCUAGGGGAGCAAACAGG